rnacentral:rRNA from 1 species
UACGGAGGGUGCUAGCGUUGUUCGGAAUUACUGGGCGUAAAGCGCACGUAGGCGGAUUUGUUAGUCAGGGGUGAAAUCCCGGGGCUCAACCUCGGAACUGCCUUUGAUACUGCAAGUCUCGAGUCCGGAAGAGGUGAGUGAAAUUCCUAGUGUAGAGGUGAAAUUCGUAGAUAUUAGGAAGAACACCAGUGGCGAAGGCGGCUCACUGGUCCGGUACUGACGCUGAGGUGCGAAAGCGUGGGGAGCAAACAGG